rnacentral:misc_RNA from 1 species
GAUGAAGAACGUAGCGAAAUGCGAUAAGUAAUGUGAAUUGCAGAAUUCAGUGAAUCAUCGAAUCUUUGAACGCACAUUGCGCCCGCGAGUAUUCUCGCGGGCAUGCCUGUCCGAGCGUCAUUUCAACCCUCAGGGCCCGCCUGCUUGCAGGCGCGGCGCUGGUGUUGGGGAUCGGCUACCCUGCCGUCCCCCAAAUACAGUGGCGGUCUCGCUGCAGCCUCCCCUGCGUAGUAGCAACACUCGCAUGCGGAGCGCGGCGCGGCCACGCCGUAAAACCCCCGACGUUCUGAACGUUGACCUCGGAUCAGGUAGGAAUACCCGCUGAACUUAAGCAUAUCAAUAAGCGGAGGA